CCUACGGGAGGCAGCAGUGAGGAAUAUUGGUCAAUGGGCGCGAGCCUGAACCAGCCAAGUAGCGUGAAGGAUGACUGCCUUACGGGUUGUAACCUCUUUUUAUAAAGGAAUAAAGUGAGGCACGUGUGCCUUUUUGUAUGUACUUUAUGAAUAAGGAUCGGCUAACUCCGCGCCAGCAGCCGCGGUAAUACGGAGGAUCCGAGCGUUAUCCGGAUUUAUUGGGUGUAAAGGGAGCGUAGAUGGGUUGUUAAGUCAGUUGUGAAAGUUUGCGGCUCAACCGUAAAAUUGCAAUUGAUACUGGCAGUCUGGAGUACAGUUGAGGUAGGCGGAAUUCGUGGUGUAGCGGUGAAAUUCUUAGAUAUCACGAAGAACUCCGAUUGCGAAGGCGACUUACUAAACUGCCACUGACAUUGAUGCUCGAAAGUGUGGGUAGCAAACAGGAUUAGAUACCCGAGUAGUC
rnacentral:rRNA from 1 species